rnacentral:miRNA from 11 species
UGUUAACUGUAAGACUGUGUCU